CAGAUGGGAGCUUGCUCCCUGAUGUUAGCGGCGGACGGGUGAGUAACACGUGGGUAACCUGCCUGUAAGACUGGGAUAACUCCGGGAAACCGGGGCUAAUACCGGAUGGUUGUUUGAACCGCAUGGUUCAAACAUAAAAGGUGGCUUCGGCUACCACUUACAGAUGGACCCGCGGCGCAUUAGCUAGUUGGUGAGGUAACGGCUCACCAAGGCAACGAUGCGUAGCCGACCUGAGAGGGUGAUCGGCCACACUGGGACUGAGACACGGCCCAGACUCCUACGGGAGGCAGCAGUAGGGAAUCUUCCGCAAUGGACGAAAGUCUGACGGAGCAACGCCGCGUGAGUGAUGAAGGUUUUCGGAUCGUAAAGCUCUGUUGUUAGGGAAGAACAAGUACCGUUCGAAUAGGGCGGUACCUUGACGGUACCUAACCAGAAAGCCACGGCUAACUACGUGCCAGCAGCCGCGGUAAUACGUAGGUGGCAAGCGUUGUCCGGAAUUAUUGGGCGUAAAGGGCUCGCAGGCGGUUUCUUAAGUCUGAUGUGAAAGCCCCCGGCUCAACCGGGGAGGGUCAUUGGAAACUGGGGAACUUGAGUGCAGAAGAGGAGAGUGGAAUUCCACGUGUAGCGGUGAAAUGCGUAGAGAUGUGGAGGAACACCAGUGGCGAAGGCGACUCUCUGGUCUGUAACUGACGCUGAGGAGCGAAAGCGUGGGGAGC
rnacentral:rRNA from 1 species